rnacentral:rRNA from 1 species
CGUAGGGGGCAAGCGUUGUCCGGAAUCAUUGGGCGUAAAGCGCGUGUAGGCGGUCCGGUAAGUCGGCUGUGAAAGUCCAGGGCUCAACCCUGGGAUGCCGGUCGAUACUGCCGGACUAGAGUUCGGAAGAGGCGAGUGGAAUUCCCGGUGUAGCGGUGAAAUGCGCAAAUAUCGGGAGGAACACCAAUGGCGAAGGCAGCUCGCUGGGACGUUACUGACGCUGAGACGCGAAAGCGUGGGGAGCAAACAGGAUUAGAUACCCUGGUAGUCCACGCCGUAAACGAUGGGCACUAGGUGUGGGAGGUGUCGACUCCUCCCGUGCCGGAGCUAACGCAUUAAGUGCCCCGCCUGGGGAGUACGGCCGCAAGGCUA